AGACCGUGAUGAGGACACUUUCUUAGUAGCUCCUUGAACCUGUUCCAUGUUUCAUAUAAGGAUUCCCCAUCCUCUUGUGAAUAUGUAUUAAUUUCAGUCAUUAAUUU
rnacentral:snoRNA from 2 species